GUGCUCGCUUCAGCAGCACAUAUACUAAAACUGGAACGAUACAGAGAAGAUUAGCAUGG
rnacentral:snRNA from 1 species